UACGGGGGGGGCAAGCGUUGUUCGGAAUUACUGGGCGUAAAGGGCUCGUAGGCGGCCAACUAAGUCAGACGUGAAAUCCCUCGGCUUAACCGGGGAACUGCGUCUGAUACUGGAUGGCUUGAGGUUGGGAGAGGGAUGCGGAAUUCCUGGUGUAGCGGUGAAAUGCGCAGAUAUCAGGAGGAACACCAAUGGCGAAGGCAGCUCGCUGGGACGGUACUGACGCUGAGACGCGAAAGCGUGGGGAGCAAACAGG
rnacentral:rRNA from 1 species